GACGAACGCUGGCGGCGUGCCUAAUACAUGCAAGUUGAGCGCUGAAGGUUGGUACUUGUACCAACUGGAUGAGCAGCGAACGGGUGAGUAACGCGUGGGGAAUCUGCCUUUGAGCGGGGGACAACAUUUGGAAACGAAUGCUAAUACCGCAUAAAAACUUUAAACACAAGUUUUAAGUUUGAAUGAUGCAAUUGCAUCACUCAAAGAUGAUCCCGCGUUGUAUUAGCUAGUUGGUGAGGUAAAGGCUCACCAAGGCGAUGAUACAUAGCCGACCUGAGAGGGUGAUCGGCCACAUUGGGACUGAGGCACGGCCCAAACUCCUACGGGAGGCAGCAGUAGGGAAUCUUCGGCAAUGGACGAAAGUCUGACCGAGCAACGCCGCGUGAGUGAAGAAGGGUUUCGGAUCGUAAAACUCUGUUGGUAGAGAAGAACGUUGGUGAGAGUGGAAAGCUCAUCAAGUGACGGUAACUACCCAGAAAGGGACGGCUAACUACGUG
rnacentral:rRNA from 1 species